AGACAUCAGUAGCCGCGGUAAUACGAAGGGGGCUAGCGUUGUUCGGAAUCACUGGGCGUAAAGCGCACGUAGGCGGACUUUUAAGUCAGGGGUGAAAUCCCAAGGCUCAACCUUGGAACUGCCUUUGAUACUGGAAGUCUUGAGUUCGGGAGAGGUGAGUGGAACUGCGAGUGUAGAGGUGAAAUUCGUAGAUAUUCGCAAGAACACCAGUGGCGAAGGCGGCUCACUGGCCCGAUACUGACGCUGAGGUGCGAAAGCGUGGGGAGCAGGCAGGAUUAGAUACCUCUGUAGUCCCUGUCUCUUAUAC
rnacentral:rRNA from 1 species